rnacentral:lncRNA from 13 species
CCAAACUAUCAUUGGACCUGAAGUUCACAGAGAACAAGAGAACUACUUGAAUGCAGUGAUCAUAUAAACUAAAGAAAGGAGAUUAAAAAUAA